UACGUAGGGUGCAAGCGUUGUCCGGAAUUAUUGGGCGUAAAGAGCUCGUAGGCGGUUUGUCGCGUCUGCUGUGAAAACCCGAGGCUCAACCUCGGGCCUGCAGUGGGUACGGGCAGACUAGAGUGCGGUAGGGGAGAUUGGAAUUCCUGGUGUAGCGGUGGAAUGCGCAGAUAUCAGGAGGAACACCAAUGGCGAAGGCAGAUCUCUGGGCCGUACUGACGCUGAGGAGCGAAAGCAUGGGGAGCGAACAGG
rnacentral:rRNA from 1 species